GGAGAGGUACCUGCAAAAGUGUUAGAAGGGCCAGGUGCGGUGUGUACACGUGUAGUAGGGUUAGAGAAAGUGGGAGCAUCUUGCUCCAUCUCAUCAUAUUCAUUAUCGGUCUGACCACCUUGGUUAUCCUGCACAGGUAUGUCAUUAGGAGAAGGAUGACCGGGUUCAGGGGCGGUCAGAUCAUAAAUCCAAUUGUUCCUGUUACGCACAUCUAUGCGUGUGUGGCAGGGUAAAAUGAUA
rnacentral:lncRNA from 1 species